GAUAAUAACAUCACCAGAAUCAAAACUCGCACGCAAUGACUCGGACUCGUAGAGUUACCGAGUCCAAGAACUUCAACUCAAAAAAAACUCAACCUCCAAAACGCCAAAAAAAAUUGAAACAGAGAAGAAAAGAAGUUGAUUGUUUAAUUGUUUGUGGAACUGAAAAAAAACCGUUGCCUUUAGCUUUGGGAGUGAAGAUGAAAGACCUGGCGAGAUUUGUAGAGGAGACGGGUAGAAAACGCCAUGAGAGAGCUCAAUCAAACUUUUAUUUGGGAGUAGGGUUUCUAGUAUUUGUUUUGGGAAUCUGCUUGCUCAAUCAAAAACCUAAAGGGUGUUUUGAGCAUCCCGAUUUUAGGGGGAAAAAU
rnacentral:lncRNA from 1 species